CGGAUCUUCAUUAGCUUGCUUUUGAAGAUCAGCGGCGGACGGGUGAGUAACACGUGGGCAACCUGCCUGUAAGACUGGGAUAACUUCGGGAAACCGGAGCUAAUACCGGAUAAUCCUUUCCCUCUCAUGAGGGAAAGCUGAAAGACGGUUUCGGCUGUCACUUACAGAUGGGCCCGCGGCGCAUUAGCUAGUUGGUGAGGUAACGGCUCACCAAGGCGACGAUGCGUAGCCGACCUGAGAGGGUGAUCGGCCACACUGGGACUGAGACACGGCCCAGACUCCUACGGGAGGCAGCAGUAGGGAAUCUUCCGCAAUGGACGAAAGUCUGACGGAGCAACGCCGCGUGAGCGAUGAAGGCCUUCGGGUCGUAAAGCUCUGUUGUCAGGGAAGAACAAGUACCGGAGUAACUGCCGGUACCUUGACGGUACCUGACCAGAAAGCCACGGCUAACUACGUGCCAGCAGCCGCGGUAAUACGUAGGUGGCAAGCGUUGUCCGGAAUUAUUGGGCGUAAAGCGCGCGCAGGCGGUUCCUUAAGUCUGAUGUGAAAGCCCCCGGCUCAACCGGGGAGGGUCAUUGGAAACUGGGGAACUUGAGUGCAGAAGAGGAGAGCGGAAUUCCACGUGUAGCGGUGAAAUGCGUAGAGAUGUGGAGGAACACCAGUGGCGAAGGCGGCUCUCUGGUCUGUAACUGACGCUGAGGCGCGAAAGCGUGGGGAGCG
rnacentral:rRNA from 2 species